UGCCUUUUGCCAGCAACGACAUGUGCCC
rnacentral:piRNA from 1 species